rnacentral:rRNA from 1 species
UACGGAGGGGGUUAGCGUUGUUCGGAAUUACUGGGCGUAAAGCGCGCGUAGGCGGACCAGAAAGUUGGGGGUGAAAUCCCGGGGCUCAACCCCGGAACGGCCUCCAAAACUCCUGGUCUUGAGUUCGAGAGAGGUGAGUGGAAUUCCGAGUGUAGAGGUGAAAUUCGUAGAUAUUCGGAGGAACACCAGUGGCGAAGGCGGCUCACUGGCUCGAUACUGACGCUGAGGUGCGAGAGUGUGGGGAGCAAACAGG